CUUAUUUCGUUGAAUGACCAAGAAGAUGCUCAUUCUGGCUGGUGUUUUUAGCUUCUCUGCUGGGCUACUGACUUGCUGCCAGAGCAAAGUAUCCAAUCCUGUAGUGAAGCUCUCCCUGCAGAGAUGGCUGAGAUCACACCCCAACUCCCUCCGGUCUGCUCGGCUGUGAGCUGCCUGCCGAGCUCCUGUUGCCGCUGCCCUCAGCCUGUGCCUGAUCUAAAACCGUCCCGCCCUCGAGUAAAAACAGACCUUUCCUGGCGAAUCUCAAGGAUGUCUUCUCUUGAUAUAUGUCUUGAUUUUCAUCAUCUCAAAUCAACUGAUUGAUAUCAGAUAACAUUGUUAUUAAAAAUAACCAACUUUUGCGAGCCAAGAAGACAAACCAUUCUACCAGACAAGUAUCUGAGUCAAGUAAACCCCAUGUAGGAUCACAGUCAGACUUGUUUGAAAUAAGCAAAUAAUAACAAGGUGUUGCAAUUAUGAAUGCUUUUUUUCCACCAUCAAUAAAAUAACUAACAGC
rnacentral:lncRNA from 1 species